GAUUGUUUCAUUGAGUUCUGCUGUGAGUUGUUUUGACUCUUUGGCCAAUCAGGGCCAAGCUCUGUCAGGACUCUGGAGAGAGUCACAAGUUUGUAUUAUUAUCUUUUUAGCAUUCUAGAGCAAUCAGAGCAUCCCAAGUGCAGAGCAAGAGGAGACCCAGCAGGUGGCUGGGCUGGAGGCAGGAAUUGUUUUACCCACUGGGUCACCAUUAGCAGCAGUCCUGAAGCCACAGUGACCCCGUGGUUUGUCCAGCAGCUCUGUCCUGUGAUGUCUGAAUGUGUGAGGAGGGAAAUCAGCUACAGCAACCCAGCAAAGCACCUGGACCUGCAGGAAAGUUCCACACUGCUCUGAACAGCUCAGACAACCGAAGAAUCAAAGUGCUUUCCUCUGCCAUCAGCCCUGUAUGAGCUUUCUCCUUAAUGCUGUCAAAUUAUCUCCUUUUUGUCUGUGGAGUUCACAGCAUUUGCAGCAGUUGCACUUGCAUAUCAAUGAGUUGUCACACAGCUCUUACAAUUGCUGAGGUGCCUGUGCUGUCUCCUGCAUGCUUUCUGUUCCUCUCCAUGAAUCUCUCCUGACUGUGCAGGGUGAGGCUGCCCAGAGCUCGGGAUGAGGAGCAGGGGCAGCAGCAGCAGACUGCAAACAGGGACUGUAUAAUAACUGUAUAAUAACUGUAUAAUAUGGAAGUUGCAGGGCGCCCCUGACGCAGGGAAUGACUGGCAUCUGACUCCAAGGCUCUGGAAUUCUGAGCACUCACUUUAUUAAAACUAUAUUAUAUUACAUUACAACUAUAUUAAAGAGAUGUACUAUGCUAUUUUAUACUUACUACAAAGAAUACUAAAGAAUAUUAAAAUAAAACCCAUGACUGUUUGCCUGAGAGUCAGGACACAGCUUUGUGUGAUUGGCCAAGGAAAUAAAGCAAUCCUCACCAGAAUCCAAUUACCAAAUUCCUUCAGGUAAACAAUCUUCCGACACAUCCCACAUGUGCAAAAACACAGGAGCAGCAAAUUAGAUAAGAACUGUUUUUUAUUUCUCUGAGGUUCCUCGCUGUGAUUCCCAGGAAAUAUCCUUGGGAAGUUGUGCCUGCUGCUCUCUCUGAAGAGAACUGUGGUGCAGUAGAAUCCAUUCUGCAGUGGCCUUUUCCCAAAACCAGGCUGUCUCCAUCUUCCCCUGGAGCAUUCUGCAGUCUCCCAUUUUCUGCAGCCCUGCCCUGCCGAUGGGCAGGAUCCUGAGCCAGCCUGGAGGCAGCAGUGCAGAGGAUGCAGCAGUGCAGAGGAUCCAACAGCACACCCCUUGCAAGCUGUGCCUCAGCCCUGCCUGCUCAGACACAAGCCCAAGUUGCAAACAGCUCCCACAGCCCAAUUUCGGUUUCUUUCCAUGCUUGUCUGAGAUGUCAUUUGGGGAAAUUCAUAUAUUUUCAUGCAUUUGCUUUGCACAGACUGGCUGGGAAAUAAGGAAAUUAUAUGCUCUAGGAGCUGUUGGUGGCCUGUCAUAUUGUUUUGGUCAGGGUUGCUGUGUUUGUAUCACUCUGAAUUUUCAAUCAUCUACCUGUGACUUAGUGGUGACCCAGAAAGAAGUUUUGGGGCAUGAACAUGGAAAAUGAGCUGUACCCUCCUCACCUUACACACUGUGUAUCAACACACAACAUAGCACAUGUGGAUUUAUAACUCAAGAAGAAUAAGCAACAAAAUGCAACUCCUGUCUGAAACAGAUUCAUAUAAAGGUCACUUUCCACCAGAAGUAAAUAACAUUCGGUUUGGGGGAAUCACUGUGGGUGAAGGGGAAAGAAAUGCACUGUUUGAUUUGGGGAGAAAUUGGAUAGACAGAAGGUGUUUCAAAAUAUAAUGAAAAAAUAAUUAGAAAAAGGAACAAGCCAAAGGACAAACA